GAGGGCAGUUAAUGAAUAUACUUGCGCGCUUUUACUCUUAGGCAAAUCACUAAUCAUUCAAAAGGCUUAUUAGUGUUGAUUUUGUAACGUUAUUGGGAUACACAAGAACUAGCAAUACCACAUAAAAAAGAGUCUAGAACUGGGCAUUUUUAAAUCUGGAUAGUUGUUGUAGUGCCUGAUUAUGACAACAACAAGAAAAAAAAUAGCAGAAUAAUUGUUUGCAGGGAUACAUAGAUCUUUCUUCUAUCAUGGUUAUCAAGAUAGGAUUUUUUAACGUACACUAUAUAGUACAAAAGGUUGUUUAUCAUAUACUGCAAAUCAUUAGUUUUACGUCAGUCUAUUACAUCAGAGUAGAUGUCUCUAUCUUAUCUUGAUUGAUAGGAAGUCCACAUAUUGAACCUUCAAGAUGGUUUGAAAUGGACCUGGACAAUGUGAAUUGGGGCCAGUAUCUAAACACUCUGUUUUGGAACCUCAACUAUUGGGAUUCAAUCAUUACGCUGGCUGGAGAGGUUGAGAAUCCGAAGAUAACUCCUUCCUACAUGUUUUUGGUGACAGUUUGCUUGAUACAAUAGAUGGAUGUUAUGUUUAGAUAUGUUGUGCUCGAUGGAUCAGUCUUCUUGCUUUGUUUAUUCAUGCUUUUUAGGAGAAUAUUUAGCCAUGUUGAUAUGUUUGUCCCCUGUAUGUUUAGAUAUGUUGCCUCGAUGGACCUGGUUAUAAUAAUAUAAUUGAUUUUCUAUAAUUGUUGUUGUGGGUUUGUCAAGCAUUAAUUGGGUGGAUGGGAGCAGCAGCGGCGGUGUUGUGUUCUCUUUCAUGAAACUGACCCCACUUUCUCGUUCUUAUUACCUUGUGCGAUUUGAUUCCUCACUUUUCCUUUCUUCUGUUUCCUUUCCUCUUGCAGGAUUGACGGGGCUGCUCUCAUUUUUCGGUUUGCUACUGCUCCUUGCAUUCUAUGCUGCUCAUUGUUGUCAUAAGAACGUGAGGUGUUCUUCGUUGGUUCUUGGGUCCUCCAUGCCGUUAGCCUUCAAGCGGCCCAUUCCCCUGUCGUGCCUGGACUAGCUAGAUCGAUUUUGAAGCUUGUCUAUUCUGCCUUUGACAUUCCCUGGAUUUCUGCUUGGAUGUGUUGUGGUGAUUAUUUGACGGGUGGUCUAUGACUCUAGGAUGAGCCCAUUUAUUUUAGCACAUGCAUUACAAUUUGUCUAUUGUACCGUCGACUUCCUUUCCCAUAUUUCUACUUUUAUGUGCUCUCAUCAGUUAUGUUUUGUCUGUUUUUGGCUGACCCAAUGCAUUUUAAUUCACCUAUAUGUACUACCAUUGGUUGUCUUAUAUACAUUUUCAUGUGUUUUAUCUGUCUGAUCAGUUCUUCCUAUGUUCUUUCUGUUUGUGUUGCAGAUGAUGCCACUCUUCCACCAUCUUGUCGGCUCACAUGCUGUUAUUCUUGCUGCCAAGGUUUGUGCUUCCUCUUUCGGUUCUAUUUUCUUUUGCUCCUGUGAAGUAUAAUGAUUUGUUGCAGUUAAGUUUGUCAGUUCCCGUUAUGUGUUUGGGGUAACUGUCUACAGUUCAGUUUAUCUGUUCUUCUGGUGCAUCUUGUUCUAAACUUCUGGUAGGAUGUGCUCCUAUCACCUGAAGUAUCAAAAUCUUGUUAAGCGUUGGUCUGAUGUUUUAUAUAUAUUCAGCACCAAGGGAGAUGUAGAAAUGCAAGAACAGAACCUUUGCGAGGUAAUUCAGUCAGCUAUAUGCAUGUAUGUUUUCUGCUAUAGCGAGAUCAUUUAUUUUAUUUAGAAAAUAGAACAUGAAGUGUGAUUACAAGAAUCUACUACUGUUAGCAUGAACAGGCUUUGUAAUGUACCUACUGAAUAAUAGCAUAAUUGAAUCCUUCCUAAGCAACGUCCGUCAACCGAGACUUCACAUGCUUUGUUUUACUUUACGAAGAGUAGUAUGUGGUGCUCCAAUAUUCAACUGUGUUCUUGAAUUAGGAAUUAUGUUUUUUAUAGUUAAAGUGCUUGUCUAUUGAUCUGGUGUAUAUAAGUGAAAGAAAACAAAAACAGACGGGGGAUGGGAGCUUCUUGCUUUUGUUUUCCUUUUGUUUCUAUUUGAUAAUUACUCUCUACUCUGAUGCUUCAGUGUUUUUUUAAUAUCCCGUGUUAUAUUUUUUUGGUGCUACUUGGGCUUUCUGAGGUCCUUUUUGUUUUCAUUAAGAACAAAAUAGAGUUACUUAAUUUUAGAUUUGAAUGUUAGACACAGAGCUAUGAGUCAAUGUACUGGUUUGACAAGUUGUAUUGUCAUAUUCACCUGUGCUUUGGAAAUUAAAAAGAAUUACUUUGUUUUAGGUUUGAAUGUCAAGAAAAAAAUAGAAUGGGGUAAGGGAGCUCGCAAUACAGAUUCUAAUUGUUACUUGGUGUUCUGAUCCUUGUGUCUGCUCUUGUACUCCCUCUGUUCACUUUUAUAAGACGUUUCAGACAGCUGAAAUUGAAUUGUUUUGAGUCUUGUCUUAAAUGUCUAAAUGGUCUUACAAAAGUGAACGGAGGGAGUAAUAAUCUUUUGUGGGUGCCUUCACAUGUAAUCUAUUGCCUCUCUGUCACGUUUUGCUACAAAAUUAUGUCUCGACCAUAUGUAUUUACAUUACUCCUGUCAGCUUCUGAUAUUUAAAUUAUGAUAGGACAAUGCCUCUCUAGCUGUAACUGUGAUACUCUUGAUGUGCAAGUAAACACUACUAGGAUAACUAAAAAAAUCAUGAAAUGCGAGCAAUUCUCGAUUUAAAUAGUGUGACCUUACAUAAUAGGAGCUAAUCAUUGUAUCGUGUUCAAAAUGGGUACUAGAAAAGAUGAUUGAAUAGCAAGUCCUGUAGAGUUACUACCAUAAAGUUUAUUUCUAACUGCAUGAUCUGAACUGCAUAUUCUGAAAGUAUAUUGCACCCCUGCCCUUGGGAAAUUAGACUGCCAUAGCAAUACUUUUGUAAAUAAAUGACAUUCGAACUUGAUGGUUCAGUUUAAAGCUGCAGGCAGAGGCUUGCGGUAGGGAGGAAAUCGUUAUGCCAGUUGAAAACCAAGCCGUUUAUUUGUGGGUGCAUGAUCUAGACUGUGCUUCUCUGAAAGUAUGCUCUUGGGAGAUUUAGCUAUUGUGGUUUUGCUUGGUAAACGGCUUGGUUGUUAAACAAAUGACAUGCUAAAAUGUUGGUUGUUAGAGCCUCCCUGUUCUUCUAAAAAUAGUUCGGUUGUUAGUACAGAGGUGUGACACUAUUUGGUCCUCUGGUAUUGAUUCGUGAUUUGUGCUUAAUACAUGAUGUUGGUAUCUGAUCACUUUAUUGCUCAUGCCUCACUUGAUGUUGCAUGGUGUACAGGUGAAGUGCCAAUGGAGUGGCAUAUCGUACUUCGCUACUACCUACACAUGCGAUUCCAUUUGAUUUCACUUUGAUUUUUUUUCUGCUGAUCGUUUCUAGGUGGUUGUUGAUGAAUCAUGUGAGGAUGGUGCAGAACUCACAAGAGGGAGAAGACCGAACUGCGGUAACCAAAUCAAAUAGCUGAUAAGGUUCACUUGGAAGUGGUUGAGGUAGCCUGACCUGGUGAGGAUCCACCUAACGAACUGACCUGGUGACGCGAUGUGUACAUUGGAGGAAUUAGAUCUUGUGCGUGCGGGAGUGGAUCUUGCAAUUGAAGUCGUCUCUCCGAUGCAGAGGAGCAGCGGCGAUGCAGUGGAAACUACAGGGUGAGUGAGAGAUUGGAGGAGGGGAUGGUCAUGAAGUGAGUAAGUGGAUUAACAUCGCUUGGUCAAGUAACUUUGGCUGGCCCAUUAUUGUGAAUUUGUCAUUUGUCUCUUGUAAGCCCACAACACGGUUUAAAUAUGUAUUGGGAGUUUGGGACAAUUAAAUCAGAUAAAUGAAAGAAAUUAUAGCGCUUAUAACGGUUUAUAAAAUGAA